GAUGAACGCUGGCGGCGUGCCUAAUACAUGCAAGUCGAGCGAACAGACGAGGAGCUUGCUCCUCUGACGUUAGCGGCGGACGGGUGAGUAACACGUGGAUAACCUACCUAUAAGACUGGGAUAACUUCGGGAAACCGGAGCUAAUACCGGAGAAUAUAUUGAACCGCAUGGUUCUAUAGUGAAAGACGGUUUUGCUGUAGCUUAUAGCUGGAUCCGCGCCGCAUUAGCUAGUUGGUAAGGUAACGGCUUACCAAGGCAACGAUGCGUAGCCGACCUGAGAGGGUGAUCGGCCACACUGGAACUGAGACACGGUCCAGACUCCUACGGGAGGCAGCAGUAGGGAAUCUUCCGGAAUGGGCGAAAGCCUGACGGAGCAACGACGCGUGAGUGAUGAAGGUCGUCGGAUCGUAAAACUCUGUUAUUAGGGAAGAACAAAUGUGUAAGUAACUAUGCACGUCUUGACGGUACCUAAUCAGAAAGCCACGGCUAACUACGUG
rnacentral:rRNA from 1 species